rnacentral:rRNA from 1 species
UGGGUAACCUACCUAUAAGACUGGGAUAACUCGGGAAACCGGAGCUAAUACCGGAUAAUAUUCGAACCGCAUGGUUCGAUAGUGAAAGAUGGUUUUGCUAUCACUUAUAGAUGGACCCGCGCCGUAUUAGCUAGUUGGUAAGGUAACGGCUUACCAAGGCGACGAUACGUAGCCGACCUGAGAGGGUGAUCGGCCACACUGGAACUGAGACACGGUCCAGACUCCUACGGGAGGCAGCAGCG